rnacentral:tRNA from 1 species
GCGGCAAUAGCUCAGCUGGUAGAGCAACAGCUUCCCAAGCUGUGGGCCGCGGGUUCGAAUCCCGCUUGCCGCUCCA